UGCUCAUUAACAUUAAAAAUAAGAAGGGUCUUAAUUAAUUCUCGUAAGUAUUAAUAUAUAUAUAUAUUUGGAGAGGUUAAUUAAUUAGGCUCCAAGGCACAAGCUGUAUUCUAUCUGUAAGCAUGUCGACAACUUGCAUGUUUUUCUUAUUUUUCUUAAGCAGAACUCUUCCCCAGUUUACAGAGCCAACCAUUUCUUUAAUAUUUAUAAAUCCCUCUUAACUUCGCGAUUGUAUAUAUCAAGACCUAUUCCUUCUUGCAGAAGAACACAACUGAGAGACCAAGGAAAUGAGUGAUCCAAACAAGCAAGCAUCCAACAAGGGCCAUGGCUGCCCCUCCACAUCCUUUGCUGGCCUUCCACCGCCACGGUGGCCAAUCAAGAGGAAGAUUAUAGUGGAAGCACUCCAAUUCUACUCAUCAAGCUCCUCGUCAUCUGAGAAAAAGGCUUAGGCUUUUUAAUGAUGGGAAGAAAAGGGGUGUCUAUUGUUUUUUUUUUUUUUUCCUCUCUCAUGUGAUUACUCUUAUAUUGUACUAUGUAGAUAUCUGAUAUGCUAUAUGGAUUGUUUCGUAAAUAUUUCCUACUUGAUUAUGAUCCACUUUGAAUUUUUACUGCUAUUUAUUGAUUGCUUUGCUUUCUACUGUUUGUGAGUUUGAUUCUUUUCUUUACGUUUCUCUGGGAAGCAUUUUGAUACCCCAAGAUUUUAGUCUCUCAAAUUUGUGCUGCAGAAAUAUUUAGGGUUGGGAUUUGAAAGAAAUUGGUAGUCUAACGAUUAAACGGUGAUUGAAUAGCUUUUACCAACCA
rnacentral:lncRNA from 1 species